CGGUCGUAUCGGGGAUGCUGGAACCUGCGGUUGUGUGCGAAACUGGCGCGACCCCCUGCGUCUUGGUCUCGGGCUGGUGGCCAGCGGGGUCUGGGCUGUGGUUUUACUCAGCUCCUUUGCUGAGCUGCUGUCCUUUCCUCAACAUUCCCACUCGGCUGGGCAGCCUACCCUCGAGCCUCGCUCUGUCGCCCAGACUGGAAUGCAGUGGCGCGAUCUUGGCUGACUACAACCUCCGCCUCCUGGGUUCAGCGAUUCUCCUGCCUCAGCUUCCUGAGUAGCUGGGAUUACGGGCGCCCGCCACCACGCCCAGCUAAUUUUUGGUAGAGACGGGGUUUCGCCUUGCUGGCCAGGCUGGUCUUAAGUUUUGCAUCCUGGGUCCCUCCUCUUACCAAGUCCCAGCCUUUUGUCUACAGGACAAAGCAACUUUCUGCAGUUUUCUGUUUGCUCUUUAGAGAGACUGGGCCCUAAUUUGGCAAGGUGGUAGGGGAGGCAGGGCUGGUGUUUAAGGUCGACCAAAGCAACAUCUAAAUCUCUGCUCUUCCCCCAAAUUGUCCAAAUUAGCAGCAACAGGUGUGCACCUUCCAAGCUUGCAACAGACCACAUUCAGAAGCUUCUUGAUUUCCUGGUGUUCUGGCAAUAUCAGGAUCAGAGGUAACAUGGUUCAGUAGGACUCCUCAGCUUCACCCAGUGUCCAUUUCACCUCCCCAGGCCUUCCAAUGUCUCUUCUUCCAGAUUUCUCCAAGCCACUCUCCCCUUCGUCUCCUCCACUCCCCAAGGCCCCAACUCCUGCCCCUCCCACCCCAGCCCCUGUUCUCCCUGCCCACCCCCUACCCCACUGGAGUGGCCUUUCAUCAAACCCAAACCAAAGAAACCAACAGACCUUGCUGUCACCACUACUGUGGAACCUGGAAGUUGAAGCGAGGGAGAGACGGUGAAACACAGCAGAACGCCUUCUGUUCUUUCACACAAGGUUUGUGGAUGUGGCCACUAUUAAGAACUCGCACUGCAUGAUUACACUCAGCACAAUUAAUUUCUUAAACUUUUUAAAAUAAUUUAAAAUUUAGAAAAAGUUGUAAAAAUAAAAACCAGUAAACUCUU